rnacentral:rRNA from 1 species
UACGGGGGGUGCAAACGUUGCUCGGAAUUAUUGGGCGUAAAGCGCACGUAGGCGGUCUCGUAAGUCGGGUGUGAAAGCCCCAGGCUUAACCUGGGAAGUGCACUCGAAACUGCGAGGCUUGAGUACGGAAGAGGGUCUCGGAAUUCCCGGUGUAGAGGUGAAAUUCGUAGAUAUCGGGAGGAACACCAGUGGCGAAGGCGGAGACCUGGGCCGAUACUGACGCUGAGGUGCGAAAGCGUGGGGAGCAAACAGG